GUGAACAACCAAGGGCGCGCGGUGGAUGCCUAGGCUCUCGGAGGCGAUGAAGGACGCGAUAAGCCGCGAUAGGCCACGGCGAGGUGCAAGUAACCCUUGACCCGUGGAUUUCCGAAUGGGGCAACCCGGCCGUCUAGAUGACGGUCAUGCAUUAAUGCAAGCGAACGCGGGGAACUGAAACAUCUCAUUACCCGCAGGAGAAGAAAACAACAUGUGAUUCCCCCAGUAGUGGCGAGCGAACGGGGAAGAGCCCAAACCGUUGCCGUUUCGGCGACAGCGGGGUCAUGGGACCGCGACAUUCGACGUGAGACGAAGUGCAAUUACCUGGAAAGGUAAGCCGUGGAGGGUGACAGCCCCGUGCACGACACCUCUCACGAAGAUAGCGGUAUCCCGAGUAGGGCGGGACACGAGAAAUCCUGCCUGAAUUCGCCAGGACCUCCUGGCAAGGCUAAAUACUCCCGAGAGACCGAUAGUGAACCAGUACCGCGAGGGAAAGGUGAAAAGUACCCCGAGCAGGGGGGUGAAAUAGACCCUGAACCCGCGCGCCUACAAGCGGUCGGAGCCGAGUAAUUCGGUGACGGCGUGCCUUUUGCAUAAUGAGCCUACGAGUUAGUCGUCACCAGCGAGGUUAAGGGCUUCAGGCCCGUUAGCCGAAGUGAAAGCGAGCCUUAACAGGGCGUCGAGUUGGUGGCGCUAGACGCGAAACCUUGUGAUCUACCCACGAGCAGGUUGAAGUCGCGGUAACACGUGAUGGAGGACCGAACCGGUAAACGUUGAAAAGUUUUCGGAUGACUCGCGGGUAGGGGUGAAAGGCCAAUCAAACUGGGAAAUAGCUCGUACUCUCCGAAAUGCAUUUCGGUGCAGCCUGUGAUGUUCUGUUCCAGAGGUAGAGCUACUGGUUGGACGCGAGGGCUUCACCGCCUAUCAAAUCCGGAUAAACUCCGAAUGCUGGAACACGAAAUCAUGGAGUGAGCCCGCGGGUGCUAAGGUCCGCGGACGAGAGGGAAAGAACCCGGACCACCGGCUAAGGUCCCGGAUGGACAGUUAAGUUGAUCAAACGAGGUGGGAUCGCUGAGACAGCUAGGAUGUUGGCUUGGAAGCAGCCAUUCAUUUAAAGAGUGCGUAACAGCUCACUAGUCGAGCGAUCCCGCGUGGAUAAUACACGGGCAUGAAACUGUCAACCGAAGCCGUGGGGUCAGUGAAGAACUGACCGGUAGGAGAGCAUUCCUGCCAGCUUUGAAGGUCACCCGCGAGAGUGACUGGAGCGGCAUGAAAAGCAAAUGUAGGCAUAAGUAACGAUAAUGGGGGCGAGAACCCCCCACGCCGCAAGACCAAGGAUUCCCCGGCAAUGUCAAUCAGCCGGGGGUCAGCCGGCCUCUAAGGCUCACCCGAGGGGGGAUGCCGACGAGAAACGGGUUAACAUUCCCGUGCUUCUCGUCACCGUGACGCGGUGACGGGGUGAUGAAUGGACCGCGCGCUGACGGAAUAGCGCGUUGAAGGCCGUACCCGAUGACGGUGGUAGUCAAGCACGCCACCGGAGGCGAGAGCCGAUAGUACCACGAGACUCCGGUCGAGUGGAUAGCGUCCAGGCAAUUUACCCCCUAGAAAACCCGCUAAACUUCAAGUGACGAGGAACCGUACUGUAAACGGACACACGUGGUCGGGUAGAACAUACCAAGGCGCUCGAGUGAUUCAUGGUCAAGGAACUAGGCAAAAUAGUCCUGUAACUUCGGGAAAAAGGACGCUCUAGUGAUAGAGCCGCAGAGUAAUGGCCCAGGCGACUGUUUACCAAAAACACAUGGCUAUGCCAAAUCGAAAGAUGACGUAUAUGGCCUGACACCUGCCCGGUGCCGGAAGGUUAAGAGGAGAGCUCAUCCGCGAGGAGAAGGUUUGAAUUGAAGCCCCGGUAAACGGCGGCCGUAACUAUAACGGUCCUAAGGUAGCGAAAUUCCUUGUCGGGUAAGUUCCGACCUG
rnacentral:rRNA from 1 species